CCUACGGGUGGCAGCAGUAGGGAAUAUUGCUCAAUGGGGGAAACCCUGAAGCAGCAACGCCGCGUGGAGGAUGAAGGUUUUCGGAUUGUAAACUCCUUUUGUUAGAGAAGAUAAUGACGGUAUCUAACGAAUAAGCACCGGCUAACUCCGUGCCAGCAGCCGCGGUAAUACGGAGGGUGCAAGCGUUACUCGGAAUCACUGGGCGUAAAGAGGGCGUAGGCGGGAUAGCAAGUCAGAUGUGAAAUCCUACGGCUUAACCAUAGAACUGCAUUUGAAACUGUUAUUCUAGAGUAUGGGAGAGGUAGGUGGAAUUCUUGGUGUAGGGGUAAAAUCCGUAGAGAUCAAGAGGAAUACUCAUUGCGAAGGCGACCUGCUAGAACAUAACUGACGCUGAUGCGCGAAAGCGUGGGGAGCAAACAGGAUUAGAUACCCUUGUAGUC
rnacentral:rRNA from 1 species